rnacentral:rRNA from 1 species
UACGGGGGGGGCAAGCGUUUUUCGGAAUUACUGGGCGUAAAGGGCUCGUAGGCGGCCAACUAAGUCAAACGUGAAAUCCCUCGGCUUAACCGGGGAACUGCGUCUGAUACUGGAUGGCUUGAGUUUGGGAGAGGGAUGCGGAAUUCCAGGUGUAGCGGUGAAAUGCGUAGAUAUCUGGAGGAACACCGGUGGCGAAGGCGGCAUCCUGGACCAACACUGACGCUGAGGAGCGAAAGCCAGGGGAGCAAACGGG